AUUUAAAUAGCUUAAUAAAAGUUUUUCAUUGAAGCUGAAAAGUUAAUCUUUUAGAUUUUUAAAUA
rnacentral:tRNA from 1 species